UAUAGGAUUGAACUUGGAAUUGUUGUGGUAUAGUGAUAUUGUACCAAUCUCACUAUGUCUAAUUCACAUUUCAGUACUACAUUUGGGCUAUUACUUGUCUUGAAAACUCUGAAUCUGUUAUGGUGUCUGCACAUACAUCUGCUGGGAAAACUGUUGUGGCGUUAUAUGCAAUUGCUAUGUCGCUUCGAAAUGGACAAUGUGUUAUCUACACUUCACCUAUUAAGGCACUUAGUAAUCAAAAGUAUAGAGAAUUUAAAGAAGAGUUUUCUGAUGUUGGUUUGAUGACUGGUGACGUUACCAUUGAUCCCAAUGCUUCUUGCUUGGUCAUGACUACAGAAAUUUGGCGUAGUAUGCAAUACAAAGGGUCUGAGGUCACCAGGGAGGUGGCUUGGAUAAUUUUUGAUGAGGUGCAUUAUAUGCGUGAUCGCGAAAGGGGUGUGGUUUGGGAAGAGAGCAUUGUUAUGUCGCCAAAGAAUGCCCGUUUUGUCUUCCUCUCUGCCACUGUCCCCAAUGCCAAGGAAUUUGCUGAUUGGGUGGCAAAGGUGCACCAACAGCCUUGUCAUAUUGUUUAUACGGAUUACCGGCCAACUCCCCUUCAACAUUAUAUUUUUCCUUCCGGAAGUGAGGGUAUGUACUUGGUUGUAGAUGAAAAGGGAAAAUUUCGCGAAGACAGCUUUCAGAAAGCUUUGAAUGCUCUUGUUCCUGCUGCUGAUGGUGAUAGGAAAAAUGAAAAUGCCAAGUGGCAAAAAGGUUUGGUGCUGGGCAAGGCUGCUGAAGAAAGUGACAUAUUCAAGAUGGUGAAAAUGAUCAUCCAACGUCAAUACGAUCCCGUGAUACUGUUCAGCUUUAGCAAGAGGGAGUGUGAGUUUCUUGCAAUGCAGAUGGCAAAAAUGGAUCUUAAUGGGGAUAUAGAGAAGGACAACAUAGAAAAAAUAUUUUGGUGUGCUAUGGAUAUGCUUUCAGAUGAUGAUAAGAAGUUGCCUCAGGAGCUUGCAAGAACCAUCGUAACUAUGUACUCGGAAUUUAUGCUGGAGAGAAACCGAUGGAGCUAGUGUCACUAGAAUCAUCUGUUGAUGUAUUGUUAUCAAGUAUAUAUACAGCCUUAGGGGAGUUGCAAUAUCAUAUUCCGGUUGGAAUUGAUUAGAUUGAAAAAUCUAAGGUGGUAGAUUUUCUAUCAACCUUCAGCCUUGGACUAUCACAGUCGGAUGACUCAAAAGCUUCAUCAUCGCGUAGUUUUAGACAACUGAGGGGGGAAAUGGAAGAGGCAAAAGGAAAUGAAAAGAAAAGAAGCAACAUAACAAAACUGAGGGGGAAGGAAGUUUGGAUGAUGAUGAAAAUGUAAAGGAUAAAAAGCUGAAGAAAGGUACUGAACCUGAGCAGAGAUUGAGACACAAAAUGAAUAUUCCUAAGGAGGAGUGUCAUUUUUAUUUAAAUUAAAUUGUACAGAAUGAGUGCCAUUUUUCUUUAAAUUAAAUUGUAUACCAUAACAAAAGCAUGGAUGUUAGAGAAAGGGAAAUUAAAGUAUGAAGAAAAUUUAUUUUUCUUUUGUGUACCA